CGUUGCUCACUUCUGCUUUGAAAGGCAGGACCUGGGAGGCCACAGAGAUGAAAGAAAUGUGAUCGCACUUUUCCCUGCUGAUGGCUGAACGUGCUGGGACUUACACUUGAAAAAGCAUCAUCAUCUCCAAGUGCCUUUUAGGAGAGUCCAUGCUAUAGAAUAAAGCAACCCCCUUGGAGAGGAGAGAACAUAGCUUUGAAGUUCUUGCCUGGCAGCUAAACUCCUCAGAGUUCUAUGAAGUUGGAGAUGAUGGUGAAUAGAUACCCUUUGAGAGAAAGAAGUUUUUCUUUGAAACAAUGGAAUUUUAACUGAAGAAGCAACCUAAGAGGAAAAGUGAACUUCUUGGGGAAAAAUCAGGUAAUGCUGGGGCAGUUUUAAUUUCUUCCCAUACUAAGCCAACAAGCAAAUUCGUUUUUAUGUAGACAUGUAGUUGCAGUGUGGAGUUGGAUGAGUAGAAGCGUGCAUGCAGCAGAUGGCAAACUGCAAUGAUGGAACAGAGCUGUUAAAAAUGAAAACACUGAAGAUUGAAGUACAUCGAGAAUACGUGGGCUACACUCGCUACUUUAAACUCCACUCACUCUGGAGCCUGCAGAUGGGAUUUUGGGAAAACUGGCAGAAGACUGUGAAGGGUAAGAAUCCCUACCAGAGUGCCCAGUUGAGAGAGGAAGGUAUAAUUUCACAUUGUCCUUUCCUUUCUAAAUCCAGACUCCAUGAUUACUGAUUCUUUCUCUCCCAGGCACAGCUAUUGUCUUCUUGUGUGUCUCAUUUUGUGUUCCUGAGAACUUGGUUUGGCAACCGUCAGGGGCCCCCAAAAUAUGGCCAGACAGAAAUGUGGGUUGCAUCCCAUUUGCAGCUGGGGUCCUACUGACUGUUGCCAGCUCUUAAAGGAAUUGUCUAAGUCUUUCUUUCUCGGGCUAUCUUUGGGAGAGUAGUAUCUUUUGCACCUCUUUGGGAACAUCUCUUGUGUCCACAGGGUUGUUCAAUACUGCCAGGAAUAUUUACUACGUGUCCCAGCCAAAACCUGACAAGAUGUUUGAAAGGAUGUUUUUUAGGUCUUCUCCCCUAAGCUAAAAUAAAACUAUGUACACAGCGGGAAAGAAAAACAUUCCAAAGACAAGCAGCUCUCAUUCUAGAACAUAAGAAUCUUUUGAUUUCCUUCUUUCUUGAAGAUCCUCUCCCUGAUAAAAAGAAGCAAACUGAAGAUAUUGUAGUUCAGUGGACGGGUCAGCCCUUUGAUGUCAUUCGGGUUGCAACCCAAUUCUUUGAAGAAUUGAAAACAACUGUUCUUGUCUUAUAAAUUAAGUCUUUACAAGAACAAAAAUGCAGCUCUAGAAGCAAUUCAAAGCCCACUUACCCUUUUUAUCAACCCCAAAACCUCCCCUAUUCAUCCCAAAAGGCUUGAAGAUAUUGUAAAAGAUCUGGACUUAGGGAACAAA